GACGUAGGGGGCGAGCGUUGUCCGGAGUCACUGGGCGUAAAGGGCGCGCAGGCGGUCGCGUGGGCCAUCGCGUGAAAGCCCCCGGCUCAACCGGGCGGUGGCGGGUGGGACCGCGCGGCUGGAGGGUGGUAGGGGCCGGUGGAAUUCCCGGUGUAGUGGUGAAAUGCGUAGAUACCGGGAGGAACACCCGCAGCGAAGGCGGCCGGCUGGGCCAACCCUGACGCUGAGGCGCGAAAGCUAGGGGAGCAAACAGG
rnacentral:rRNA from 1 species